rnacentral:rRNA from 1 species
CCUAACACAUGCAGUCGAACGAGAACGGAUUUAGUUUACUAAAAUUGUCAGCUAAGUGGCGCACGGGUGAGUAAUAUAUAGUUAACCUGCCCCAAAGAAGAGAAUAAUUGAUGGAAACGUCUUGUAACUCUCUAUAUGCCUUUAUCACAUAAGUGAGCAAGGGAAACAUUUAUGGCUUUGGGAUGGGACUGUACGGUAUCAGAUAGUUGGUGAGGUAAUGGCUCACCAAGUCAAUGACGCCUAACUGGUUUGAGAGGAUGAUCAGUCACACUGGAACUGAGACACGGUCCAGACUCCUACGGGAGGCAGCAGUGGGGAAUAUUGCACAAUGGAGGAAACUCUGAUGCAGCAACGCCGCGUGGAGGAUGACACAUUUCGGUGCGUAAACUCCUUUUAUAUGAGAAGAUAAUGACGGUAUCAUAUGAAUAAGCACCGGCUAACUCCGUGCCAGCAGCCGCGGUAAUACGGGGGGUGCAAGCGUUACUCGGAAUCACUGGGCGUAAAGAGCAUGUAAGCU